AACACAAUUUUUGAGGCGCAUGAAAUUUUAUCAUCUAUCAUUCAAAACAACACAAAAUCAAGAAUGAAAACGACGUUGAUCGCAUUUUUGUAGCCAAGGCGACUGAUUCGCCGAAUUCGUGCCUCCCGGCCAGACUAUAGUUGAUCAUCAGACUGUAACUGGAUCACUUUACGCAGACCAACUUGAUCGUCUUUUGAAAAGCAUUCGUAGGGUCAACCGGAGCACGUACCAAUUACGAGAAUGGUUUCUCCUGCAUGGCAGUGGUUCAGUAUACUCGUCGUUGAUUACCUUCGUUCUAUCAUUCGUUUCCAUCAGCAGCCUUUUUCUAGAAAAUCGGUUACAGCGAUUGAUCUUUCACUUUUCCAUUUUCUACUGCCCGGGUUUGGCGCCUGCUGAUUUGUUUCUGUUUCCUAAGCUGAAAGUGGCACUGCAAGGACAGCGUGUUUGGAAGAUGUAGAAACAAUACAGAAGAACAUGACAGUUCUUUUAAGUUCAAUAAGAGUCUUUUAAGUCCAAUAAGUCUUUUAAGACUAAUAGAUAAUGAAAUUUCAUUUAUCUGAAAAGCUGUGUUCUUAAUAACGUUGGUCCCGGAAUUUCUUGAUCGAACUGCGUAUACGGGACACCCUGUAUAUUGCAGUGCAGAAAAGCUGAAGAAUAAUGGAACGUUUAUAACGAAGCGUUUAAAAGGCUGUAAUUAAAUAAACAGAUCAAAGAAGAGAUAGACGAAGCUAAGGGAAGAGAAGAGAUGGACAGUACAAUCGGGUCAUUGGAUGUAAUAACAGCGGCCUAUUAUUAUAAUUGACCACAACAGUGGCGAUGGGAGCGAUGGCAAUAGCGACGGUAGUGACAGUUGUAUCGGCAGAAGAACGGUUGUUCGUGCUGUGUCUUUCUGGCACUGGGUUUCUCUAGCUCUUUCACAAUACCGUGGCAACGUUUGCAAUAAAUCUGUGGUGUGGUGCGAUAUGACAAUCGGCAGACGUUUCGAUGCUACGAAACUCACUGAUGCUGUGAUUCGAUGUUGAUUGACGGCCAAGGUAUUCGUCGUUGGAUUAGACCACGUCAUCUGGUCACAAGAAAGGAAGCAGACACGGGAACACAACAACAGUGGUGCAUCAGCCGGGGUUAAACUCAUUGCAUACUCGGUGCAUCGGUACUCGAGAGAAGAGGAGGGAAUCAUUCAAAGUUUGGCCGAAAGUACGAUUGCGGCAGAUGGUUUGACUUGGAAGAACAUUCAGGUCGGAAAUAGACGACGUUUCGCAUUCGCCUCGAAAUGCGAGUUCCGGCUGGGUGGACGACUUGCAGUGAAUAGUGUUGGCACUCGAUAUCCGCGUCACCGGAAAAAGGUAGAGGUUGAUAUUUUUUCCCCCCAUCAAACCGUACAAGAGUCGACAGCUUCGACAGAGACGGGCCCGUGCCUCGAUAUUCCCAGUCGAUUAUUAACUUUUCGCACCGUUACUUUUUAAUAAUACACCCUCGAACCUACGAUUCCGUCAAUCGUCGUUCUUACGUUCGAUCGUAUAAUAUCGAUCCGUGUCACGUGAAUGCGCCAUGCCAUUGUUUUAUGCUGAAACUGUAAGGAGUAAGCGUCGUUGAGACUCCUCGUCCUACGCUACUAUUGUUUCCGCGUUUUAUUUUAAUGUAUCGUAUAUACACAGAGUGGGAUGAACUUAGACAACCAAACUGUCAGGGCUUAACACUUUGACUGCCACGUUGGUCAUAUACGACUGGCCACAGUUUCUCCUGUGACGCCACGGUGGUCAUUGUUGACCGGAACGCUUGAACUUCUUACAAUUGUAAAAAUUGUAUGAAAAUU